rnacentral:rRNA from 1 species
UACGAGGGGCCCAAGCGUUAUUCGGAUUUACUGGGCUUAAAGAGUUCGUAGGCGGCGCGGAAAGUCGGGUGUGAAAGCCCUCGGCUCAACCGAGGAAUUGCGCUCUAAACUGCCGCGCUCGAGGAACCUAGAGGUGAGCAGAACUGAUGGUGGAGCGGUGAAAUGCGUUGAUAUCAUCAGGAAUACCGGAGGCGAAGGCGGCUCACUGGGGGUUAUCUGACGCUGAGGAACGAAAGCCAGGGGAGCAAACGGG